CAACUUGUGUGUGUUUCCUCUGAUAAUACUACGACCAUCCCUAAUGAGAAAGAGAGAGAGAGAGCAUUUUGGUGUACGUGGCGGAGAAUCCAAUGUUUUGAAACUGUGAAAUUGGCAUCAGGUCUACAAAUACCCAAAACACACAUGCCCUUGACAAAGAGGACGGCAAGGCAACAUUAACACACAAGUAGGAACCGAGCAGGACUGUCAAACAACUCCUGAAGAAACUUCCAAAGGACAGACUAAUUUGUCAAGAAGAUGACGUGCUCCAGGUGUUUGCUACUUAUUCUGGUUGUCUACUUCUUGAUGGACGAGCUUUGUGCUUUCCUGAUACCAGACAGACUGCGAGUGAAAAGAAGCAAUCACAGGUCAGAUCAGGAGAUGUCACCACACAUCUAUGAGCUCUCUGAUCUGGCAGACUUGUUCCCAGGAAAUGAAGGGGAAAUGACUCGGGACUGGGAACCCAAUCCCGCCAAGACCCCUGAUUUCUUUCCCCCUAUGGAACACAUCAAUGUGCAACCAGCAAACAGCAACCGCCGCAAAAACAAGGAUAAGA